rnacentral:tRNA from 1 species
UUAAUCAAAGCCAAAAAGAGGCAUGUUGCUGUUAACAACAAAAUUAAACUUAAGUUUUGAUUAAA